rnacentral:rRNA from 1 species
UACAGGGGGGGCAAGCGUUGUUCGGAAUUACUGGGCGUAAAGGGUUCGUAGGUGGCCAACUAAGUCAUACGUGAAAUCCCUCAGCUUAACUGGGGAACUGCGCCUGAUACUGGAUGGCUUGAAUCCGGGAGAGGGAUGCAGAAUUCCAGGUGUAGCGGUGAAAUGCGUAGAUAUCUGGAGGAAUACCGGUGGCGAAGGCGACAUCCUGGACCGGCAUUGACGCUGGGGAGCGAAAGCUAAGGGGAGCAAACGGG